UGGGGAAUAUUGCACAAUGGGCGAAAGCCUGAUGCAGCGACGUCGCGUGAGGGAUGACGGCCUUCGGGUUGUAAACCUCUUUCAGCAGGGACGAAGCGCAAGUGACGGUACCUGCAGAAGAAGCACCGGCUAACUACGUGCCAGCAGCCGCGGUAAUACGUAGGGUGCAAGCGUUGUCCGGAAUUACUGGGCGUAAAGAGUUCGUAGGCGGUUUGUCGCGUCGUUUGUGAAAACCAGCAGCUCAACUGCUGGCUUGCAGGCGAUACGGGCAGACUUGAGUACUGCAGUGGAGACUGGAAUUCCUGGUGUAGCGGUGAAAUGCGCAGAUAUCAGGAGGAACACCGGUGGCGAAGGCGGGUCUCUGGGCAGUAACUGACGCUGAGGAACGAAAGCGUGGGUAGCGAACAGG
rnacentral:rRNA from 1 species